AAACCAUAUGCUUAAGGGUCUUUAUCUUGGCUGAUAACUGCAUCCAGACCAUUCACCACAUUAGACAACUUUCUAUUUGAGCCACUGAAUGAGCUACUAGUUCAUGCGAAAAGAAAGCCACCACAGUUACUCGUGCUGCUUGGACCGUUUGUGGAUUCUGAGCAUCCAGAGAUUAUGUCGAACCCGGGGGCUUUUGAGGCAAACCAGGUACAAAAAUCUCUUCCGAGAAGCCAUAUUCUCUCAACUCUCAAAGUCCUUAAACCAUAAACAUUCAGGUGAAGGUAGGUUGCUGCACGUUGGAUGUACAUAAAGCAUCUGAGUGGGAAUGGGAUGUCUCUAGAAACCCAAGUGGAGUCCCCACAGAUCGCAUACCAGACUCGCAACUCAUCUCCUUCGUCAGAGAAGCUAUAAAAAACACUCUAACUUUCUAGUCAAACUAUACUGGGGUUAAAAUCUUAAUCAUGAAGCAGAACCUUUUCCAAAAUUGAAGAUUUAAGUGGCAUAUAUUUUCAUAUAAAUCAUAUGGAUGUAUGAUGUAUCCAAAGAGCAAUAAUAUAUAAAAGAUACCCAAAUAUAAACAGUUUAUUAAUUAAUUUCUGUUUAUUAUCACAAUUCACUCACUAGUAGUAUCAAAAAAACAUUUUAACUUCAUGAUCCCACAGACAGAUCUCACAUGCAGAAGAAGUAUUCAUGUCGUUAUCCUCGCCGUAUCGAUGCCAAGCACAAUUAUAUGCUAAGAAUUCACUAGUUCGACCAUCACACCCGCACUUGUCUGGAACGUACGCUCCUUUGAGCUCUUUCAUCACCUGUGUGCCAAGCCACCGAAUGCUGCCUCCAAUCUUGUCCCUCAUAUCCACCAGCUCCUCCAACGUUUUUGACAUUAACGGUUUUAUUAAAGAAGACAAGAUCUUGAAACCCUCUUGUUUUGUUUCGCCUCCAUGCAAAACCGGUCCUGGUAUAUACAUAGACUCAAAGCAUAUCAAAACUUGUUUGGCUCAAAACGUUUAAAUUGCUAAACAUGAAGAUAAACGCAAAGAUACACAACAUGCAUCGAACUUAUAAUAACAAAAAAAAAAAAAGAGAAACUCAGGUUAACAAUUAAUAUAUAUCUUGCUUACCCUCCUCGUAGAUGUCUCUGCCUCCACCACAGAUUAGGAUCAGUCCAUAAACAUAGGUUGCUUCUUUGUUUCCUUUUUUCGCAGCUUGAGAUAAAAGUUUGAGUCCUUUGUGUUUAUGGUUUCUUCGAAAAUAGUUGAUGAUUCCUUUGCGAUACAAGGCUUCAGGAUUCCCGUUCCUUCGACAUCUCUUGUAGAAGUUAGAUAAUCUUUCGGUCCUUACCUUCCUUUCAAGUUCUUUUUUUUUGUUAAGUACCUUCCUUUCAUGUUCGGUCCUUACCUCCCUUUCAAGUUCAGGGUCUUGAUAAUGAUACCAAGUCAGAAGAGUGAGUUCGUGGAGGGAAAGUCGAGAGAUUACGUAUUUUUCAUCGCAUGUUCUUUUAAACGUUUUGGAAACUAAUCUGAGAUUACGAACGGCUGACAAGGAAGAAGCAGCGGUACGUGAAGAAAUCUCCACAAGAAGAUCAUCAGGCAAAGAAUCGAGAGAAACUCUUCUUUUGUUAGAGUUCUUGAAUAUGCAAGACGCGUGCAAAGAGGAAGAUCUCAUGUUACCUAAGCUUCGUUUUCCUUUUUUUUUUUAAGGAUACUAUUUACAUUCUAAUUAAGUUGGUCAAUUGUUGUUAUAUAGAGAGGCCUACAUUCGUUUUCCUUUUUUCAGUAGGAAUAGGAAAAAAAACAAGUGGACGAAUGAAAACACAAAUUAGUUCCUUUUUCCAUAUUUAAAAAGGAUAAAUAAGAUAGAAAAUCAAAAUUAAAGAAAAAAAAUGCGUAAAUCUUAUUGUUUUUUUAGCUCAUAUAUAUCUUGUGUUUACUUUUAUCCAAUUUUCCAUAUUUGCGCUAUUCUUUCUCUCGUUUGAAUUUAUUUAUUGGAUAUAUAACUAUUUAUACCGGUUUAUUUUCCAUAAAAUGUUUAAUAGAUUUAGAAAAAAAGUCAUACCUUUCACCGGUCUCGAUUUUAGUGACAUUGUUACAUAUCUUGUGCUCUAAUUUCCACUCCACCGGUUUUUGAAUCACACACCAUGUAUUCUCCAUCAAAUAUUUUAUAAAAUUUAGAAGAAAAAAAAAAUCCCAUCCUCAAACCCAUCGAGGAUAAUAUCCUUAAUGGGGAAUAUGUUUAUUACAAACUGUUUGUCAAUCGAACAGUGGGCUUUCUGGAUCAAGAACUCACUUGAACCGGUUUCUUCUUUUUGGAGUUGUUAAUUGGUCGGACCUUUA